rnacentral:rRNA from 1 species
CCACCUCCCAUCCGUGUCUAUCUGUACCCUGUUGCUUCGGCGUGGCCACGGCCCGCCGGAGACUAACAUUUGAACGCUGUCUGAAGUUUGCAGUCUGAGUUUUUAGUUAAACAAUCGUUAAAACUUUCAACAACGGAUCUCUUGGUUCCGGCAUCGAUGAAGAACGCAGCGAAAUGCGAUAAUUAAUGUGAAUUGCAGAAUUCAGUGAAUCAUCGAGUCUUUGAACGCACAUUGCGCCCCCUGGUAUUCCGGGGGGCAUGCCUGUCCGAGCGUCAUUGCUGCCCUCAAGCACGGCUUGUGUGUUGGGCUUCCGUCCCUGGCAACGGGGACGGGCCCAAAAGGCAGUGGCGGCACCAUGUCUGGUCCUCGAGCGUAUGGGGCUUUGUCACCCGCUCCCGUAGGUCCAGCUGGCAGCUAGCCUCGCAACCAAUCUUUUUAACCAGGUUGACCUCGGAUCAGGUAGGGAUACCCGCUGAACUUAAGCAUAUC